AGAGAGUCACCAGGGUUCCCUUGUAACAUUUCUCAUCAAAGAGUGUUCUAUAGGGAAGAGAUAAAACCUAAACAGUCCCGGAAGCUGAGACAAGAAACUGAAAAAAAAAGGAAAGUGAGCAACAAGAUAAUGUAAGUCACAACUGAGCCAAUUAAGGAGCAGGAGAUGCAGCAGCAUGUCCCAAACAAAACUGAUUGGAGGUCAAGUGUGGACAACCAGAGCAAGUUCUUGCACAGCUAAUGUAUCCCCAGGUGUGAACUGAGUAACAUGAAGAAAGGCAUCCUCCUGCCACCUCCUGAAUCAGUAGAAAAAGACAAAAGCUUUUGAUGGGAUUAUGCUGGAGUCCAUGUCAUGGAACCAAACUGGAAAUUUUCUGGCAUGAUUUUAGGCGUUUUGCAUGAACUCUAAUUCAUUGAAAUGUAACAACCUUAUAAGGUCCCUGCAGGACCAUGUCACCCAAAAUAAUGCAUCAGAUAUAAGGACUUGUCUUUUACUCAUUUACUUCUUGGACCUACUUAGAGGUUCCAGGUGUGUCUUAGUUUUGAAGCUUCACAGC
rnacentral:lncRNA from 10 species